rnacentral:tRNA from 1 species
GCCCCCGUAGCGUAACGGAUUAGCGCGCUUCGCUUCGGACGAAGAGGUUGGGGGUUCGAAUCCCUCCGGGGGCACCA